AUGUCGGUGUGGGUGACGGUCCUGGCGGUGAUCUGGCUUCACACCACCUGUGAGGAUCAGAGAGAGGAGUGGGAGUUGCUGGAAGGGAAGGCCGUCUCCUGGGUCAGGGCUAAAGCAGGUUCCUCUCUGGGUGACUUUGUCAGAGCCGGGAAUCAGCUGCUGAAAUCCUCCGUGGCCCCCGAAGUGUUCGGCCUGUAAGGGGAGACGUCUGGAGGAACCAAGAUGGCGGAAGACUUCUCCUGAUGGAUUCUGGAAUCUUCCUGGAAUGUCGCUUCAUCUCCUUUUUUACCUAACCAGUUGUGUGCCUUUGUACUCCGCUCCUGUAGCUGUGAGCGAUACACCAAAGUUAUAUGUGCAGAGUUUACUAUUUAGGGAAUAAUAACCGUUUGCACUAUUUACGUGUCCUUGUUCUUUGCUAUUCUGCGUACUCUGCCAUGUUCAGAAAAGUGCUUUGUUGCAGUAUUGUUUAAAGGAAUAAACCACUUUAUGUUUC